rnacentral:rRNA from 1 species
GAUGAACGCUGGCGGCGUGCCUAACACAUGCAAGUCGAGCGAAUGGAUUAAGAGCUUGCUCUUAUGAAGUUAGCGGCGGACGGGUGAGUAACACGUGGGUAACCUGCCCAUAAGACUGGGAUAACUCCGGGAAACCGGGGCUAAUACCGGAUAACAUUUUGAACCGCAUGGUUCGAAAUUGAAAGGCGGCUUCGGCUGCCACUUAUGGAUGGACCCGCGUCGCAUUAGCUAGUUGGUGAGGUAACGGCUCACCAAGGCAACGAUGCGUAGCCGACGUGAGAGGGUGAGCGGCCACACUGGGGCUGAGACACGGCCCAGACUCCUACGGGAGUCAGCAGGAGGGAAUCUUCCGCAAUGGACGAAAGUCUGACGGAGCAACGCCGCGUGAGUGAUGAAGGCUUUCGGGUCGUAAAACUCUGUUGUUAGGGAAGAACAAGUGCUAGUUGAAUAAGCUGGCACCUUGAUGGUACCUAACCAGAAAGCCACGGCUAACUACGUGCCAGCCGCCGCAGUAA